rnacentral:rRNA from 1 species
GACGAACGCUGGCGGCGUGCUUAACACAUGCAAGUCGAACGAAGUGGCGAACGGGUGAGUAACGCGUAAUCAACCUGCCCUUCAGAGGGGGACAACAGUUGGAAACGACUGCUAAUACCGCAUACUGAAGGAGGGGAUUGCGUCUGAUUAGCUAGUGGGGGGGGUAACGGCCCACCAAGGCGAGGAUCAGUAGCGGGUUUCAUCGGAGGAACGGCCCCAUUGGGACUGAGACACGGCCCAGACUUCUCCGGGAGGCAGCAGUGGGGAAUCUUCCGCAAUGGACGAAAGUCUGACGUAGCAACGCCGCGUGAGUGAUGACGGCCUUCGGGUUGUAAAUCUCUGUUAAUCGGGACGCGGUACCGGAAUAGAAAGCCACGGCUAACUACGUGCCAGCAGCCGCGGUAAUUC